AACGAGGCCGACCUGCGGCUGAGUUACCUGCGGAAGGAUCAUUAAUGAAUUUUGGCCAACUCUGUUGGUCCAUCACAAUUCAAACACCGUGAACCGUGGCUUCGGCCCAAACUUUUGAUGUAUUGAAUGUUGAAUAUCAUAACAGAAACACAACUUUCAACAACGGAUCU
rnacentral:misc_RNA from 1 species